ACAGAACUGACAUCCCUUUGCUCCAGUCUUCCAAACCCUGGCCACGUGAACUAAGCCAUCUGAUUGCUGGGUAUAUCAGCAUCUAGUUUGUGCAAAAUUAUCUGAACUUAUUUUCGUUCCUGCUGAUGCAAGUGCCUGGUGGGUCAAAUCCGGAGGCGGAUGCAUGACAAGGUAUGGCUUCCAUGAAAAGAAAACAACGCCACACUUCUUCUCCUUUUGAUCCCCUGCCACUCAGCUACUUAUACAACUCUUCUCUCCACAAAUACUAAUUCAGCUUUUAAUUUGAAACUGUUAGGGAAGUUUCAGACAGGGAAAAUAAAGGAGUUAAAAGUAUGCCUGCAGCUCUAAAAUAUGUCAAAUUAGUGUAUUGAUUACUUCAAGCUCAAAGUACUUUGGAAACUGUAGUUCCAGAAGUGACUAUCUGACCUGUCUUUUCCUGCAUAUAGCAAGCCAUAAAACUUCCAUGGAGAAAGAUGCCUUCCCUGUGCCGGGACAAGAAAAUAACCCUAUCCCCAGGAUUGGAAAUUGUUGCUUCAGUAGACCUGUACAAAUAAACUAAAGUAACUCUUA